GAAAUUCGCCUUCAUGAAGCUGGAAUUGCUAGUAAUGGCAGGUCAGCAUACUGCCGUGAAUACGUUCCCGGGUCUUGUACACACCGCCCGUCACACCAUGGGAGUCAGCAACGCCCGAAGCCGGUGACCCAACCGAAAGGAGGGAGCCGUCGAAGGUGGGGCCGAUAACUGGGGUGAAGUCGUAACAAGGUAAC
rnacentral:rRNA from 1 species